rnacentral:sRNA from 1 species
AUUCUGCCCAAGCGGGGAAGGAUGAGAAGCUUCGACCAAGGUUCGACUCGAGCGCCAGCGAGAGAGCGUUGCCGCA